CAGGAUGGGAUCAUGAGUUCACAUGUCCGCAUGAUUAAAGGUAUUUUCCGGUAGACGAUGGGGAUGCGUUCCAUUAGAUAGUAGGCGGGGUAACGGCCCACCUAGUCAACGAUGGAUAGGGGUUCUGAGAGGAAGGUCCCCCACAUUGGAACUGAGACACGGUCCAAACUCCUACGGGAGGCAGCAGUGAGGAAUAUUGGUCAAUGGGCGAUGGCCUGAACCAGCCAAGUAGCGUGAAGGAUGACUGCCCUAUGGGUUGUAAACUUCUUUUAUAAAGGAAUAAAGUCGGGUAUGCAUACCCGUUUGCAUGUACUUUAUGAAUAAGGAUCGGCUAACUCCGUGCCAGCAGCCGCGGUAAUACGGAGGAUCCGAGCGUUAUCCGGAUUUAUUGGGUUUAAAGGGAGCGUAGAUGGAUGUUUAAGUCAGUUGUGAAAGUUUGCGGCUCAACCGUAAAAUUGCAGUUGAUACUGGAUGUCUUGAGUGCAGUUGAGGCAGGCGGAAUUCGUGGUGUAGCGGUGAAAUGCUUAGAUAUCACGAAGAACUCCGAUUGCGAAGGCAGCCUGCUAAGCUGCAACUGACAUUGAGGCUCGAAAGUGUGGGUAUCAAACAGGAUUAGAUACCCUGGUAGUCCACACGGU
rnacentral:rRNA from 1 species